GAUGAACGCUAGCGGCAGGCUUAAUACAUGCAAGUCGUGGGGCAGCAGGUUUGUAGCAAUACAGAUGCUGGCGACCGGCAAACGGGUGCGGAACACGUACAGAACCUUCCUUUGAGCGGGGAAUAGCCCAGAGAAAUUUGGAUUAAUACCCCAUAGUAUAAUGAAGUGGCAUCACUUUAUUAUUAAAGAUUUAUCACUCGAAGAUGGCUGUGCGGCUGAUUAGGUAGUUGGCGGGGUAAAGGCCCACCAAGCCUGCGAUCAGUAACUGGUGUGAGAGCACGACCAGUCACACGGGCACUGAGACACGGGCCCGACUCCUACGGGAGGCAGCAGUAAGGAAUAUUGGUCAAUGGAGGCAACUCUGAACCAGCCAUGCCGCGUGGAGGAUGAAGGUCCUCUGGAUUGUAAACUCUUUUAUAUGGACGAAAAAAGGCUUUUCUAAGUCGUCUGACGGUACCAUAUGAAUAAGCACCGGCUAACUCCGUGCCAGCAGCCGCGG
rnacentral:rRNA from 1 species